rnacentral:rRNA from 1 species
UCUCCUGGAAACGGGUGGUAAUGCCGGAUGUUCCACAUGAGCGCAUGCGAGUGUGGGAAAGGCUUUUUGCGGCAUGGGAUGGGGUCGCGUCCUAUCAGCUUGUUGGUGGGGUAACGGCCUACCAAGGCGUUGACGGGUAGCCGGCCUGAGAGGGCGACCGGCCACAUUGGGACUGAGAUACGGCCCAGACUCCUACGGGAGGCAGCAGUGGGGAAUAUUGCACAAUGGGCGCAAGCCUGAUGCAGCGACGCCGCGUGCGGGAUGGAGGCCUUCGGGUUGUAAACCGCUUUUGUUCAAGGGCAAGGCACGGUUUCGGCCGUGUUGAGUGGAUUGUUCGAAUAAGCACCGGCUAACUACGUGCCAGCAGCCGCGGUAAUACGUAGGGUGCAAGCGUUAUCCGGAUUUAUUGGGCGUAAAGGGCUCGUAGGCGGUUCGUCGCGUCCGGUGUGAAAGUCCAUCGCUUAACGGUGGAUCCGCGCCGGGUACGGGCGGGCUUGAGUGCGGUAGGGGAGACUGGAAUUCCCGGUGUAACGGUGGAAUGUGUAGAUAUCGGAAGAACACCUA